AGUCGAACGAUGAACCUCCUCCGGGAGGGGAAGAGUGGCGAACGGGUGAGUAACACGUGGGCAAUCUGCCCUGCACUCUGGGAUAACUCCGGGAAACCGGAGCUAAUACCGGAUACGACUCUCCAGGGCAUCCUGGAGGGUGGAAAGCUCCGGCGGUGCAGGAUGAGCCCGCGGCCUAUCAGCUGGUUGGUGGGGUGACGGCCCACCAAGGCGACGACGGGUAGCCGGCCUGAGAGGGCGACCGGCCACACUGGGACUGAGACACGGCCCAGACUCCUACGGGAGGCAGCAGUGGGGAAUAUUGCACAAUGGGCGCAAGCCUGAUGCAGCGACGCCGCGUGAGGGAUGACGGCCUUCGGGUUGUAAACCUCUUUCAGCAGGGAAGAAGCGCAAGUGACGGUACCUGCAGAAGAAGCACCGGCUAACUACGUGCCAGCAGCCGCGGUAAUACGUAGGGUGCGAGCGUUGUCCGGAAUUAUUGGGCGUAAAGAGCUCGUAGGCGGCCUGUCGCGUCGGAUGUGAAAGCCCGGGGCUUAACCCCGGGUCUGCAUUCGAUACGGGCAGGCUAGAGUUCGGUAGGGGAGAUCGGAAUUCCUGGUGUAGCGGUGAAAUGCGCAGAUAUCAGGAGGAACACCGGUGGCGAAGGCGGAUCUCUGGGCCGAUACUGACGCUGAGGAGCGAAAGCGUGGGGAGCGAACAGGAUUAGAUACCCUGGUAGUCCACGCCGUAAACGUUGGGCACUAGGGUGUGGGCGGCAUUCCACGUCGUCCGUG
rnacentral:rRNA from 1 species